UGUAACUUGGUUGGUUCGUUGCAUAGCCAUUGUCCCGGCGCGAUUAAUAGAGAGGCUGACGGAUCAGUGUGCCGGAGACGCAAAGCCUGGUAAAUUGUCUCCAGAACGGUUCGAUGAUCCUCCAGUACUCUGCCUGCAGUGAGAGUGUGAGGUGAGUGAUAUGAUUCAGGAACGACAAAGGAAGAAAAGAAAAGGAUGCAAUCAGCAGAGCAAAGCUGGUACAGGAUGGAUGCAGCCAUGAAAGGACAUGUAUGAAGUAAUAUAGUGGUGAAACCCUACUUCAUCUAUUGCAGUUUAUGGCUCUUUUGAAUGCAGAAAUUUCAUCUAUUGGAGUAGUAUUUUCAUAGGAGUCAGUUCAAUUUUCAAAAAAAUUGUAACUAUAUUCUUCUGUACCGAAUAGCUGAAUAGAUGAAAAAUGUGAUAAUUAUUCGAGGAUAUAAGCGAAUGAAUUAACUAUUAUAGAGUUGAAAAUAGAUUUAAAUCAAUACUUUAAGAAACUCAUGUAUAAAAAGUUCUUAUAAAAAUAGCAUCG